rnacentral:rRNA from 1 species
CGGAUUGUAGGCUGAAACUCGCCUACAUGAAGCUGGAGUUACUAGUAAUCGCAGAUCAGAAUGCUGCGGUGAAUGCGUUCCCGGGUCUUGUACACACCGCCCGUCACACCACGGAAGUUGGGGCGCCCGAAGCCACUUAGCUAACCCUUUUGGGAAGCGAGUGUCGAAGGUGAAAUCAAUAACUGGGGUGAAGUCGUAACAAGGUAGC